GAUGAACGCUGGCGGCGUGCCUAAUACAUGCAAGUCGAGCGAACAGACGAGGCACUUGCCUCCCUGACGUUCGCGGCGGGGGGGUGAGUAAAAUGUGGAUAAAACACCUAUAAGACUGGGAUAACUUCGGGAAACCGGAGCUAAUACCGGAUAAUCUAUUGAACCGCAUGGUUCAAUAGUUAAAGACGGUUUUGCUGUCACUUAUAGCUGGAUCCGCGCCGCAUUAGCUAGUUGGUAAGGUAACGGCUUACCAAGGCCACGAUGCGUAGCCGACCUGAGAGGGUGAUCGGCCACACUGGAACUGAGACACGGUCCAGACUCCUACGGGAGGCAGCAGUAGGGAAUCUUCCGCAAUGGGCGAAAGCCUGACGGAGCAACGCCGCGUGAGUGAUGAAGGUCUUCGGAUCGUAAAACUCUGUUAUUGGGGAAGAACAAAUGUGUAAGUAACUAUGCACGUCUUGACGGUACCUAAUCAAAAAGCCACGGCUAACUACGUG
rnacentral:rRNA from 1 species